UAGGGAAUCUUCGGCAAUGGGGGCAACCCUGACCGAGCAACGCCGCGUGAGUGAAGAAGGUUUUCGGAUCGUAAAGCUCUGUUGUAAGAGAAGAACGAGUGUGAGAGUGGAAAGUUCACACUGUGACGGUAUCUUACCAGAAAGGGACGGCUAACUACGUGCCAGCAGCCGCGGUAAUACGUAGGUCCCGAGCGUUAUCCGGAUUUAUUGGGCGUAAAGCGAGCGCAGGCGGUUAGAUAAGUCUGAAGUUAAAGGCCGUGGCUUAACCAUAGUACGCUUUGGAAACUGUUUAACUUGAGUGCAGAAGGGGAGAGUGGAAUUCCAUGUGUAGCGGUGAAAUGCGUAGAUAUAUGGAGGAACACCGGUGGCGAAAGCGGCUCUCUGGCUUGUAACUGACGCUGAGGCUCGAAAGCGUGGGGAGCAAACAGGAUUAGAUACCCUGGUAGUCCACGCUGUAAACGAUGAGUGCUAGGUGUUAGACCCUUUCCGGGGUUUAGUGCCGUAGCUAACGCAUUAAGCACUCCGCCUGGGGAGUACGACCGCAAGGUUG
rnacentral:rRNA from 1 species